GACGAACGCUGGCGGCGUGCUUAACACAUGCAAGUCGAACGGAAAGGCCCUGCUUUUGUGGGGUGCUCGAGUGGCGAACGGGUGAGUAACACGUGAGUAACCUGCCCUUGACUUUGGGAUAACUUCAGGAAACUGGGGCUAAUACCGGAUAGGAGAUCCUGCUGCAUGGUGGGGGUUGGAAAGUUUCGGCGGUGGGGGAUGGACUCGCGGCUUAUCGGCUUGUUGGUGGGGUAGUGGCUUACCAAGGGUUUGACGGGUAGCCGGCCUGGGAGGGUGGCCGGCCACAUUGGGACUGAGGUACGGCGCAGACUCCUACGGGCGGCAGCAGUGGGGAAUAUUGCACAAUGGGCGGAAGCCUGAUGCAGCGACGCCGCGUGCGUGAUGACGGCCUUCGGGUUGUAAACCGCUUUCGCCUGUGACGAAGCGUGAGUGACGGUAAUGGGUAAAGAAGCACCGGCUAACUACGUG
rnacentral:rRNA from 1 species